rnacentral:rRNA from 1 species
CACGGAGUUAGCCGGUGCUUCCUUUGAAGGUACCGUCAGACUAGGGCUGAUUAGCACCCUAGCGGUUCUUCCCUUCUGACAGAGGUUUACGACCCGAAGGCCUUCAUCCCUCACGCGGCAUUGCUGCGUCAGGCUUUCGCCCAUUGCGCAAUAUUCCCCA